rnacentral:rRNA from 1 species
CCUACGGGAGGCAGCAGUGGGGAAUAUUGGACAAUGGGCGCAAGCCUGAUCCAGCAAUGCCGCGUGAGUGAUGAAGGCCUUAGGGUUGUAAAGCUCUUUCGCCCGCGACGAUGAUGACGGUACCCGCAGAAGAAGCCCCGGCUAACUUCGUGCCAGCAGCCGCGGUAAUACGAAGGGGGCGAGCGUUGUUCGGAAUCACUGGGCGUAAAGGGCGCGUAGGCGGCCCUGUUUGUCGCGUGUGAAAGCCCCGGGCUCAACCUGGGAAUGGCGCGCGAGACGGCGGGGCUGGAGUUCGGGAGAGGAGCGUGGAAUUCCCAGUGUAGAGGUGAAAUUCGUAGAUAUUGGGAAGAACACCGGUGGCGAAGGCGGCGCUCUGGACCGAGACUGACGCUGAGGCGCGAAAGCGUGGGGAGCAAACAGGAUUAGAUACCCUGGUAGUCCACGCCGUAAACGAUGUGUGCUAGACGUUGGGGAGCCUAGCUUCUCGGUGUCGCAGCCAACGCGGUAAGCACACCGCCUGGGGAGUACGGCCGCAAGGUUAAAACUCAAAGGAAUUGACGG